rnacentral:rRNA from 1 species
GAUGAACGCUGGCGGCGUGCCUAAUACAUGCAAGUCGAGCGAACAGAUAAGGAGCUUGCUCCUUUGACGUUAGCGGCGGACGGGUGAGUAACACGUGGGUAACCUACCUAUAAGACUGGGAUAACUUCGGGAAACCGGAGCUAAUACCGGAUAACAUUUGGAACCGCAUGGUUCUAAAGUGAAAGAUGGUUUUGCUAUCACUUAUAGAUGGACCCGCGCCGUAUUAGCUAGUUGGUAAGGUAACGGCUUACCAAGGCGACGAUCCGUAGCCGACCUGAGAGGGUGAUCGGCCACACGGGAACGUAGACACGGUCCAGACUCCUACGGGAGGCAGCAGUAGGGAAUCUUCCGCAAUGGGCGAAAGCCUGACGGAGCAACGCCGCGUGAGUGAUGAAGGGUUUCGGCUCGUAAAACUCUGUUAUUAGGGAAGAACAAAUGUGUAAGUAACUGUGCACGUCUUGACGGUACCUAAUCAGAAAGCCACGGCUAACUACGUG